UUAGCCCAGAAUUAACGAUAAUCCGUGAAUAUAUACAAUAUCAAAACAGUGUUUUAGUAUGAAAAUAUCGCUUUCUUCAACCUUAGCCAUGACUACUCUCCCUAAAACACUCCACUAUCAUCACCUCUCCUUCACCCACCGCCCUUCUCCGUUUCCAACCCCUUCCUCUACCUUCUCCUUCCGCCCUCAACCUCCCCGCCACUUCUCCUCCUCCCCCUUACUAUUCUCAUCCAUCAAAGCCUCGUCAUCCUCAUCCUCCCCCUCACCGAAAAACAACAACCAUUCCCCAAAACCCCAAAACCCUUUUUCCCAAUUACUCGAAACCCUAAACCCCUUCUACUCACCUCUAUUCGAACCCGCUUAUGUCGCUGUAACAGUUCUCGCAUUCUUCUUAUUUCGCUUUCAACAAAAUCCCGCCGCCGCCACAUCACCACUCCCACCUCCUCCAGCGGAAACUUCCACUGCCACUACGGACGAGAAUUUAUUCGAAAAUAAUAUUAUAAUCGAUGACAUCCUGGUUGAAACUUCCAACGAUGCAAACGCACUUCGGUCACUAGUGGAGGAGAAAGUGAAAGCUAAAAAACUCGGCGAAGCGAUUCGUGUUGUGGACCGUAUAAUUGAACUCGAGCCGGAGGAAUUUGUUUUACAGUUACUGAAAGCACAUUUGCAUAGUUACAACGGGGAACACGAACUGGCUAAGAACGGGUUUGAACUUUUUUUGGAGAAAGAUCCGUUAAAUUCUGAAGCUUAUCGUGGUCUUUUGAUGGCGAAUUUGGAGUUGAAUGAGCCGUUGGAGGGUUUCUUGAAUAGGGUUGAUGAAGUUGUGAGGUUUUUCGAGGAGGAAAAGAUGGAGUCAGAAGCGAGGGAAUUUAAGCUUUUGAUUGCGCAGGUGAAGGUAAUGCAAGAGGAUUAUCCCGGUGCGUUGAAGGUGUAUGAGGAAAUUGUGAAGGAAGAACCGAGUGAUUUUAGACCUUAUUUGUGUCAAGGUGUUGUUUAUACUCUGCUUAGGAAGAAUGAUGAAGCUGAGAAACAGUUUGAGGUGUAUAGGAAACUUGUUCCACAGAAUCAUCCUUAUAAAGCGUAUUUUGAGGAUAACACUCAGAUUUUAUCGAAGAAGCUUGAGAAGAGAGGAAUAGAAGCAAAAAUUUGAGAAUCACAAUCAUUUGCGGUUUCUAUAGAGAGGUUGGUUAUACUUCCUUCUAUAUGAUGGAUCUUCUUCCUAUCCUUUGAGAAGUAUUCAAGUGUUAAUACAUUUCAUUGGCCACAACAGUGAUAUUGAUAUAGGAUAAUCAUAAUGGUCUAUACCAGAAAAAAUUCUUUGUAAAAAUGUAGUUUUUGAAAAUUGAGUUCAUUUUUUAUUGGUAUAUUUUGGUAAACUGGAGAGUUAUAUACAGGAAACUCCGUGGAAAGUGACUAGGAUUUACAUUGAAAUUUGAAUUUGCUUUGCAUUUAUACCUUUGGUGGUGUGUUGCUGGAGAAAUUUUAUUAGAAAUCCAUUUUUCACGGUAGCCAAUUAUGCUAAUUCAUAUUCAAUACAUUAUUUUUAAUUGUGGAUUGCAAAACAUAACAUUCACUCAAAUGCCGCUUUGUAGCAGUGUUAUAGAGCGCCGCUUUUUGACAAUAUUUUGUACUUAAUAGCAUCAAAUUCUUCUAUGGUAUAGCUCUUUAGCCGCGAGCUACUUAAAACAUGGUUUGGUAUUCUUAUAAUAUUGCAUUUUCUGUCUCAACUUUGAAUGAUGGACAUUAACUUGUCUAUCUUGUGGACUGUGUUACAUAUAUCUAAACUACACAAUGCUGCAUAUUGUCGAUUGUAUUGAUGUCAGAUAUGUUCAUGUCCUAUAAGCAUGAGCACAUUAGAUGAUUUGUUUUGAUUUUUGUCAUCUUGUUCCUUAAAUUUGCAUAGGGGGGUCCAUUGAAGUGCAAAAUUCCUGUUUUGAUCUUCUAUGGAACUCCAUAGAGUUUACUUUCUGGUCAACCAAAGUACAAACUAAGGAUUUGAUCUAAAACAAAAAUUCAAACAGAGGAGGCAAUCAGAAAGGUAAUGUACAAGUACUUGAAUGAUGUUGGCAUAUCUCAUGCUAUUUUGUUUUUCUGGCUAAGUGUUAAACUAUAUUAUGGUUGUUUUAAAAUUUCAUUGAAGGCUGCCACCUUCUUAUUCAAUUUAGGGUGUGUUUGGAAGAUCUUAUUUGGGCUUUCUUAUGACAUACUCACCACUUCUCCACUUCCCCCUUAUUAUUUUCAUCCAUCAAAGCCUCAUCAUCCUCAUCCUCCCCCUCACCAAAAAAUAACGAUCAUUUCCAAAAACCCCAAAACCCUUUUUCCCAAUUACUCAACCCUAAACCCUUUUUUCUCACCUCUCUUAGAACCCGCUUAUGUCGCAGUAGCAGUUAUCACAUCCUUCUUGUUUUGCAUUCAACAAAAUCCCGCCACUGCCACAUCACCACUUCCACCUCCUUCAGCCGAAUCUUCCACUGCCGCCACCACCGCCAUUUCAGCACUUUCAUCUCCGGCGGAAACAUCCACUGCCAUCACCACCGCCACAACGGAAGAGACUUUAUCCACUAAAGAAAAUGAUAUUCCAAUCGAUGAAAUCCUGAUCGAAACUUCCAACAACGCAGACACACGUAGGUCACUCACGGAGGAAGAAGUGAGAGCGCGAAAACUCAGAGAAGCAAUUCCCGCCGUGGACCAUUUAAUUGAACUCGAACCGGAGGAAUUUGAUUUACAGUUACUGAAAGCACAUUUGCAUAGUUACAACGGGGAACACGAAUUGGCUAAGAAUGGGUUUGAACUUUUUUUUGGAGAAAGAUCCGUUAAAUUCUGAAGCUUAUUGCGGUCUUUUCAUAGCGAAUUUUGAAUAGGGUUGAUGAAGAAGUGAGGUUUUUUGAGGAGGAAAGAUGGAGUCAGAAGCGAGGGAAUUUAAGCUUUUGAUUGCGCAGGUGAAGGUAAUGCAAGAGGAUUAUUCUGCUGCGUUGAAGGUGUAUGAGAAAAUUGUGAAAGAAGAACCAAGUGAUUUUAGACCUUAUUUGUGUCAGGGUGUUGUGUAUACUCUGCUUAGAAAGAAUGAUGAAGCUGAGAAACAGUUUGAGGAGUAUAGAAACUUGUUCCAGAGAAUCAUCCUUAUAAAACGUAUUUUGAGGAUAACACUAAGAUUUUGUUGAACAAGCUUGAGAAGGGAGCGAUAAAAGCAGAGAUUUGAUAAUCUCAAUCAUGUUCUGUUUCUUUAGAGAGGUGAAUGGCAGUACUUUUUAGGUGAUUAACUUGCUUAUGGUGAUAGUUUUAACUUUACAAUAGCUCGAGUUUUUUGGUGGAUAUAUCAAGUUUUUCUCAUCUUGUGCCUUAAAUUUGCAUAGGAGUGUCCAUUGAAGGGCAGAAUUCCUGUUUUGAUCUAUGAAACUCCAUAGGAUUUAAUUUCUGAUCAGCCAAAGUACAUACUAAGGAUUCGAUGAAAAUGAAGUACAGACAAAGGAGGCAACCAGGAAGGUAGGGUACAAGUCCCUCACUGAUGAUGACAUAUUUCAUGUUAUUUGGCAAAAUGUUAAACUGUAUUAUAGUUGUCUUAUAAUUCGUUGGAGGUUGUCAUCUUUUUCAAUUCAGGGUAUGUUUGGAAGAUCUUAUUUGUUUCUCUCUUUUUACAUAAGUGCUUAUGUUAGUUUUUGUUGCAAGAGCUUAUGAUUUAUGAUAUCUAAAUAAGUUGGUUUUAGCUUAUUGUCAUAAGCUCUCUAAUAUAACUUAUAAUAACAACUUUGACGGUUGAAUCAAAUUAUUUAUAAGUGAUUACAUGAUAAGCUUUUAUUGAAUAAAAUGCUUAUUUGUUUUGGGGUUUUGUAUAUGCCCUGCUUCGAAAGAAUGGUGAAGCUUAGAAGCUGUUUUAGGAGUAUAGAAAACUUGUUCCAAUCCUUAGAAAGAGUAUUUUGAAGAUAAAGUUUUUGUCGAAGAAGCUAGAGAAAGGAGGAAUAGAAGCAAAUAUUUGAGAAUUGCAAUCAUGUGUAGCAAUAAUAACUUUAGUCUAUGUUGCUGGAGAUGUUUUAUUAGAAUUGUAUUUGCCAUGGCAUCUAAUUGUGCUAAUUCAUGUUUGGUACAUUGUUUUGGAA